CAAACUAGAAGAUGGCGACCGGCGCACGGGUGAGUAACACGUAUCCAACCUGCCGAUAACUCCGGAAUAGCCUUUCGAAAGAAAGAUUAAUACCGGAUAGCAUACGAAUAUCGCAUGAUAUUUUUUAUUUAAAGAAUUUCGGUUAUCGAUGGGGAUGCGUUCCAUUAGUUUGUUGGCGGGGGUAACGGGCCCACCAAGACUACGAUGGAUAGGGGUUCUGAGAGGAAGGUCCCCCACAUUGGAACUGAGACACGGUCCAAACUCCUACGGGAGGCAGCAUG
rnacentral:rRNA from 1 species